GGCCAGUGGAUGUGGGUUUCAUGAAGGCGUUGCAUGAGAAGGUCAACAUCGUGCCUCUCAUCGCCAAAGCUGACUGUCUUGUCCCCAGUGAGAUCCGGAAGCUGAAGGAGCGGAUCCGGGAGGAGAUUGACAAGUUUGGGAUCCAUGUAUACCAGUUCCCUGACUGUGACUCGGACGAGGAUGAGGACUUCAAGCAGCAGGACCGGGAACUGAAGGAGAGCGCGCCCUUCGCCGUUAUAGGCAGCAACACGGUGGUGGAGGCCAAGGGGCAGCGGGUCCGGGGCCGACUGUACCCUUGGGGGAUCGUGGAGGUGGAGAACCAGGCGCACUGCGACUUCGUGAAGCUGCGCAACAUGCUCAUCCGCACGCACAUGCACGAUCUCAAGGACGUGACGUGCGACGUGCACUACGAGAACUACCGCGCGCACUGCAUCCAGCAGAUGACCAGGUGCGCGCCCCAGCAGCGAGCCAGACCUCGCCCCUCCGGCCCCGCCUACGUCUCCAUAACUGAGGGCCGGUCCUGUCAGCCCACCCAGACUUGAACCUUGCACCAUUCCCCAAAUCGCCCCCCCCACCUCCCCCAGAACCUGGUCUCCCUAGAACCAGUCCAGGGCUGUGAGGGCUCCGGAGGGCAGGGCCUCAGCAGUGGCGGGGAUGGGCCAGGCAUCGCCAGCCCACGCUGCGCCUCCGGUGGCGCCGCCCCGCCCAUCCUCCCCCCUCCCUCACCCCGGCAGCAAACUGACCCAGGACAGCCGCAUGGAGAGCCCCAUCCCGAUCCUGCCGCUGCCCACCCCGGACGCCGAGACUGAGAAGCUUAUCAGGAUGAAGGAUGAGGAACUGAGGCGCAUGCAGGAGAUGCUGCAGAGGAUGAAGCAGCAGAUGCAGGACCAGUGACGCUCGCCGCGGACACACCGUCCGUCUCCGGGACGCCCUCCCACCCCUGGACCCCAGACCGGACUGUUCCCGACCCGGAGACGCGGGGCCACAGCCCCCAGCUGACCCUAAUUUAUUCUCAGCACCACCCCCUCCCAGAUCAUUGUAUCUGCUUCCGAGGGGCCUGGACCAUAGCCCCCGCCCAGCUGGCCCUCUCUGACCUUGGGGGAUCAGGAGCGAAGUUGGGCGGGACUUCAGAGAUCCGCCUCCCUUGCCCUUCCCCCGCCCCCGGACGGUCACAGCACCCAAACUGCAGGCCCUGCUCUGGCAGGCAGGCAAAGCUAGGCAGAAGAGGAUUCCCAGGAUCCUGGGUCUGUUGCCUGCCCCAGUGCUGCAGAACGGACUUGGGAGCCCUCCUUUGCCUGCUCCCGCGGGUCACCCAGCGAGUGCUGAGACCCCAUUUUCUGUCGAGGCGGGCCGAGUCUUCCCUUAUCCCCAGAAGCCUAGCGGGCAGGGUUGGGCUGAAUCAAAUGGGAGCCCUCCAGACAUAAGGAGGCCAGAGGCUGCAAGGAGGGCGGGCCGUGACCGCUCACACCCUUUCUCCACAGCCUGGCCCGACCUGGAGGGCUCCCGGGGCACUGGGCGGUGAGCCACCUCCUGGCAACUCUCGGUGCCGUCCCCUGCCCUCGCUCGAGGCCUCUUCUCCCCAGCACCGCUGUGGUGUGCCGGGAUCCUGAGCCUCGGCCUCCCGAUCUUCCCACCCGCAUGAUCCCUUCCCGCCACACGAUGCUUCGUUUUGUUCCGUUGUGAAUGCCGCGUCCUGUCCUGGUGACAGGAGAACAAUGUUGGUGAACGUCGCAGCGGGUGUCCGAGUGCUCCGUGUGCCCCUGAGAGCGGGUGGGAGCGGAAGCCUGAGCGGCCUGCGGCCUCCGGCGAUAGUGUGCUAUCUGCCGCUGCAGCGCGCGUCCGUGCGGCCUCUGGGCUAUUUCUGGCCGGGCCGCAGCACUGUGGUCGGUGCGGGCGUGGCAGAGGCGGGGCGGCUUUAUCACUCGGCUCUCCCGCCUACGCCUCCCGCUCCAGAGUAAGCCGGGCAGCCGUCUUCUCGCCAUGGGCUCCGGGCCGCGCGGGGCGCUGAGCUUACUGCUCCUGCUGCUGGCCCCGCAGAGCCGCCCGGCCGCAGGUUGCCCGGCGCCCUGUAGCUGCGCGGGGACGCUCGUGGACUGCGGGCGCCGCGGGCUGACUUGGGCCUCGCUGCCGACCGCCUUCCCUGUCGACACAACCGAGCUGGUGCUGACCGGCAACAACCUGACGGCGCUGCCGCCGGGGCUGCUGGACGCGCUGCCAGCGCUGCGCACCGCACACCUGGGCGCCAACCCCUGGCGCUGCGACUGCCGCCUUGUGCCGCUGCGCGCCUGGCUGGCCGGCCGCCCCGAGCGUGCGCCCUACCGCGACCUGCGUUGCGUGGCGCCCCCAGCGCUGCGCGGCCGC
rnacentral:sRNA from 1 species